rnacentral:rRNA from 1 species
AUUGAACGCUGGCGGCAUGCUUUACACAUGCAAGUCGAACGGUAACAGGUCUUCGGCUGCUGACGAGUGGCGAACGGGUGAGUAAUACAUCGGAACGUGCCUAGUAGUGGGGGAUAACUACUCGAAAGAGUAGCUAAUACCGCAUGAGAUCUACGGAUGAAAGCAGGGGACCUUCGGGCCUUGUGCUACUAGAGCGGCUGAUGGCAGAUUAGGUAGUUGGUGGGGUAAAGGCUUACCAAGCCUGCGAUCUGUAGCUGGUCUGAGAGGACGACCAGCCACACUGGGACUGAGACACGGCCCAGACUCCUACGGGAGGCAGCAGUGGGGAAUUUUGGACAAUGGGCGAAAGCCUGAUCCAGCAAUGCCGCGUGCAGGAUGAAGGCCCUCGGGUUGUAAACUGCUUUUGUACGGAACGAAAAGCCUGGGGCUAAUAUCCCCGGGUCAUGACGGUACUGUAAGAAUAAGCACCGGCUAACUACGUG